rnacentral:rRNA from 1 species
CCUACGGGAGGCUGCAGUGAGGAAUAUUGGUCAAUGGACGCAAGUCUGAACCAGCCAUGCCGCGUGCAGGAAGACGGCUCUAUGAGUUGUAAACUGCUUUUGUACGAGGGUAAACGCAGAUACGCGUAUCUGUCUGAAAGUAUCGUACGAAUAAGCAUCGGCGAACUCCGUGCCAGCCGCCGCGGUAAUACGGAGGAUUCAAGCGUUAUCCGGAUUUAUUGGGUUUAAAGGGUGCGUAGGCGGUCGGAUAAGUUAGAGGUGAAAUCCCGAGGCUCAACUUCGGAAUUGCCUCUGAUACUGUUCGGCUAGAGAGUAGAUGCGGUAGGCGGAAUGUAUGGUGUAGCGGUGAAAUGCUUAGAGAUCAUACAGAACACCGAUUGCGAAGGCAGCUUACCAAGCUACUUCUGACGUUGAGGCACGAAAGCGUGGGGAGCAAACAGGAUUAGAUACCCGGGUAGUC